UGGGGAGUCUUCUAAUGGCAGGAAAACCGGCUCUGACCCGGUAAACCGUGGUUCGACCCCACGUUCCCCAGCCA
rnacentral:tRNA from 1 species